UCAGACCAGUCGGCCACCUCAGGCUGAGCAGCAGUGAACUCAGGAGCUGGUGGAGUCCAUUUACCCUGGAAUUCCUCUUUGGUCACAGCCUUCUCAGCAGCAGCCUGCACCUCCUUCUCAAUCUCCUCUGGGUCUCUGUAGAAGUAAAGAUCAGGCAUAACCUCCCAUGGGGGCUCAUGGGAGAUAAUACCUAGUAUGCAGAGUACUUCCCUGGCCAGCAUCCACCACAUCAGACCCACUGAGUGAGCUCUCUUGUUGUUGCAUGGAAUGGCAAUGUCCACAUAGCACAGGGGAGAAUUUGUGUUACACAGAGCAAUGGUGGGCAGGUUGACAUACAGCCUCUGUGAGUGGCUGGUGGUCAGCCCUGGGAUCGGUCACCACUAGAAGCCGUGGCUCCCUGAAGGCUGCUUGAAUCUGGUUAGUGAAGGCCCUAGGUGUGAAGCUGCCUUCAAUUGGAGUGGCUCCCGUGGCGGCAGCAAACUUCAGCACAGCUCGCUGGCCAGUGUUCCUGGAGGAGAUGACGCUGACGUCAGCAGGGCUCUCAAUGGCAACAAUAGCUCAGGCUGCGAGCAGCAGCUUCUCCCAGGUCCUCUUCAGGUUUAUGAUGUAGAUACUGUCACUUUUCCUUUUGUAGAUGUACUGCUCCAUCUGCAAGUCAAGGUGGUGCCACCUAACUGGGUUCCUGCAGCAAGGAAUUUGAGGACAUCCUCCUUCUUCAUCUGCAGGACGUCAAGGGCUCCGGAUAUUGUGCUCUCAUCUUGAGAUACAUUUCUAAGUCCUCCCUGAAGAACCACAGCCUCUGCAGCAGAGGUCCGCCACCCAGUUUAUUGUCCAGUCCUGUUGGUUUUCAUUCAGAGCACCUGCUGGAUCACUGUUACCAUUUGUAAACGAAGAUUAAAUCUAGCUUCCCCACACUUUCCAUGUUGAAGAAGACUGACCGCUGCAACUAAAGAAUAACACCUGGACUGAGCCAUCCCAGUGGGACUGCUGGAUUCCAUGGUGUGAGAAAACAAGAAGAGCAAGCAUGGUGCACCCAGAUCAUGGGAACAGAACUGGGCUAUUCAUCCAGGUUCAAACAGGACCAUGGGCAGAGAGAGGAGAAUGAUACAUGGGAACCACAGGAGAGACUCAUGGCAGCAAGGACUAAAGCUUUAUUGCCAGGCAUACCCUGAGCUGUCAAGUUGCAGCCUGGAAUGUUUACAGCUAUGUUUUAACCUCCUGACAAUGAGACUCUGCAAUGGAAAGGCUGCCAGACCUUCAAAUAUAGUGAUGGCACUCUAAUAUUUAUAAGUACCUUAUACUCUUUCCAAACACAUGUGCUCAUUACUUAUGUCUCUGCUUCUGCCUCACUUCUGGAGAAAACUUUCUGUAUAAACAAAACAGAUUGGUCUGCUUGUACUUCUAAACUUUAAUUGCCUUCUACCUCCAUCUGCCAGAGGAAAGCCAGCCCCAGGGCUAAGUGACAAAGCCUGUCUAACUAUACAGUAUCCAGAAGCACACAGGUUGCUCCUACUCUUUUCACUGUCAGUACUGGUCAGUGUGCAUAUCUUUUAGUGUUUGCUUCUAAUUCUUUCUUUCAAUUAGGGAUGUGAGGGAACACUGGUCAGCAGGUUGGAGACAAGCCAUGAACCCAGUGACUCUGACAGAUUCUGACCAUCAGGCAGGUUUUAUGUAAAUGGAAGUAGGCACCUAACAUUAGUGAAAGGCCACUCAGACUUCUGACAGCUUAUCUGGUUCAACAUAAGUAGGAUUCCAGGCAAAUUGAUUGCUUAAUACUGAUGAGACAUGACAAGGAUUCCUUAGCCCUUCAGUGUAAAACUCACGACAAUUGUAUGUCUGCACUGGACUCUGACUGAGAUGCAGAGAUGCUGAGCAAUUGACAUAGUUAUGACCUGCAGAUGAGGAGACUAUCCUCAUGGUCACUCAGGUCACUCAGUAUCCGUCUUCUGGACAGAAUGAAGAGGGUGGAAAAAGGACAUCAAAUUUUUUCCAGGUUUGCCAAGGUCAGCUAGGUGCCUAACCUUCAGAAUUUUGGUGUAGGUUUGUACAGCAUGGUCUAAGACAACGGAAAGUGAAGACUUUGGAAGCAAUGUCAUUUCUAGAUUAUAAAUUCUUAAAGUCAGUGGAGAGCUGUAUCAUUGAGCCAACUUACCAAACCUCUCUGCACUCUGGAGACAUAACUGUGUAUUAACAAGGAUAGCUCCGAGACAAAGUUCUGAAUGCUCACAUACCAUAUGGGCACAUAGCAAGAUGGCACACAUCAUGUCACAAGCACAGCCACUCACAUCAUCUCUUAAAUUUCAGUUGGUAAAUCCCAGUGCUAAUGGAUUACAUGAUAAACCCUAAUGCUAAAGGAUCACAUGAUAAGUCCCAAUCCAAAGGAGUAUAUAAAAACACAGAGCAAUAGUCUUGUUCAACAGACAUUCUCCAAGGGUAUUUUAGUUAGUGUUUCUGUUGCUGUAGUAAAACCCCAAUGUAAAAGAAACUCAGGAAGGAAGCAUUUAUCUCUUACAGGUAAUAGUCCUUCAUGGAGGGAAACCAAGGCAGGAACCUGGAAGCAGGAACUAAAAUGAUUGCAUGGAAAACUGAUGCUCUAAAAGUAUUUGCUCAAGAGUGGCACUACACACAGUGGAAAAGGCCCUCAUGCACCAAUCAUUAAUUGAAAAAAUGCCCCCCCACACACACAUGCCCAGGGACUAAUCUCAGCUUCUCAGUUGCAUCUCUUUCUUCUCAGGUGUCUAUUGUUUGUGUCAAGUUGACAAAACUAACAGUACACAGGUUAAGAUAUUCAGGCAACUUGAAUGCAGCAAAGUAGUUCCCUAAAAUUCUAUCUCUUAUGGAAAACAGGAGAUUAUAGUCAUAACUUUAUAUCUGAUGUUAUUGACAGAAAGUGAGAUCUUGGGUAUCAUAAUCACAGGAACAAUAUAGUGCACAUUUUCCUUAAAGUCAAACAGUGCAGUUUUGAGAACUAGUCAGAAACCAAACUUCUUGAAAUAGUGCAAGCAUGGUUCAUAGUCACCAGCAGCCUCUGACAGCAUACACUGUAGGCAAGAAAUAUGGCCUGUGCCCAUCAAAUCAGUGAAGGAAAGUUAUUGAUGAUGAUUUAUGGGUGAUAAGACCAGUAACAUUAGAAGCAUGUCCAUGGGCAGCUCAGUUUUGAGUACAAGCUAUUAGCUGGGAAAUUGUCAUACGACAAUGUCAGACACUAUGCAUCAGUGGGUCUUCUGAGUAAGUGUCUGCUCUGUAUGGCUGUUUCAUCUAAGUAAACUUCUUCAAUGUUAAACUAAGUUAGUUAUAAUUUUGUAGCAAUUACCAGAAUUGGUAUAUACAGGCUCUCAGUGAUAACAAAAUGUGCCUUUGUCAUUUCUAAGGAAAAUUCAUGAUUUAUAUUUGUCCUUCUGAGGUUCCUAAGAAAACAUGAUGUGGGGAGAAGACUUAUGAGGGAUGAUUGGUCCCAAGGUCACGCUCAAGAAUCACAUGCAUUCAAGGGACAUGAAUUUCCUCUAGGAACUUGAGCAAAGUUGUAAGCCUCCACCAUCUUUCUGGAACUGCCUUAGGCCUCAGCCAGAGGAGUAUGAAUAUCAACAUAUUUUGAGUGACAUCUUCAGAGAAAGCUAUGUGGGUCCCAUGGAUACAUGUGCCUACCCAUCACUGCCAGUAGGUAUUUGUGGGAAUAGAGACUUUGCCACAAAUGUGGGCUGUGUUUGCACUCUAUCUGUCCUUAAAAACUUUCCCCAUAGUCCCCCCCCCCACCAAAGUCUAAUUGAAGCCAUUUUACAGACUGUAUAUGAGUGAUUGACUUCAAAUGGAUCUUGAAAAUAAACAUCUAGUGGUAUAAUUUUAUAGAAAUAUUUGGCAACACAUGAAGUGUAACACAAAUUACAAAUUUUAUGUUAAAACUAUUUUUCUCUGUAAUCCAUCAGAAUUUCCUAUGGCAGAGACAAUUGUAGGAUUGAAGAUUCAAAGUUAGUAAUGUAAAACAAUAUUAAGAAGUGUUGAUACUCUGUCUGGACUCCACCCCACAGUUACCUGGCAACAACCAGAUAGGCCUGGCUCACUAUAAGAGGGGCUGUUUGCUCCCUCCUCUCUUACUCUCUUACUCUUGUCUCUCUCUCUCUUGCCUCUUGCCCCUUUGCUCCUCCUCUCUCCCCAUUCCCUUCCCUCCUCCCUCCACAUGGUCAUGGCCGGCCUCUACUUCUCUACUCUCUUCUUCUCUCUGCCUUUCUCUGCCUCUACUACUCUCUUAACUCCCCUCC
rnacentral:lncRNA from 1 species